AUAAAAACUAUGAAGGGAAGAGUAAGUUUACGAUUUUCUCUAAAGAGAGGGGCCGGAAGCUGCAAAAGCCCUGGGAAUAGUAGACCGAAGACCAACUCGGAGUUUUAUGGCUGUAAGCCUUUAUUAAAAUGAGUUUAAAUUAGGGUGGAACCGCGGGAAAACCUCUCGUCCCUUAA
rnacentral:misc_RNA from 1 species